CGGGGAGUGGCGUAGUUUGGUAGCGCGCCUGACUGGGGGUCAGGAGGUCGCCGGUUCAAAUCCGGCCUCCCCGACCA
rnacentral:tRNA from 1 species